GUGCUCGCCUCGGCGGCAUGGGUACUAACACUGGAACGACACAGAGAGAAUGAGCAGGCCCCGUCACAGGAUGAGACGCAAAGUCGUGAAGCGUUCCGUGGUUUU